CGCCCUCCGCAAGGUGCAGCUGAGCCACAGCUGGGGCAGGGUCACUGAGGGAGAACAAAGUCAAGAAAGGGCAAAACAUGACACAGAAGAUUCUGAGGAAAAAGAGGAACAACCCCAUGAGCAGCAAGGGAAAGUACGUACGGAAUGGACGUCAUUGGUGCAGAUGCUCAGCAGUUUGACAGCUAAACUGAGCAGGAAAUGAAAUAGAUGACUGCCAGGACAUUCAAUUGUUCAUACCAUGGACUGGAACAGCAAGAAUGACAGAAGGGAAUUCCAGCAAGUCAACUGUUCAAUUGCACAACUGGGACCCAUUUGGCAACCAGUCUUAAUCACUACCCUUACUCUCCCAGUCACAUCAAAGAACUGCUCAGUUUACAGUCUAAUUCCUAUCACACAUUCAGCAGCCCAUCCUACUUUAGGGUUUUCUUUCACCUGGCUAUAUAACCUUACAAUAUUUCUGAAAAGUCCCAUGUUGUGAAAAAAAAGUGCUACCCAACAUAAAUCCCAUCAGAUCAGUGAUUAUGUUCCUUCUGAUAAACCAAGACCAUGUGACAAUAAAA